rnacentral:rRNA from 1 species
UACGUGAGGGGCGAACGUUGUUCGGUGUCACUGGGCUUAAAGGGUGCGGAGGUGGUUGCGUAAGUAAGGUGUGAAAUCCCUCGGCUUACCCGGGGAAUUGCAUUUUAUACUGCGUGGCUUGAGGACUAAAGGGGAAAAGGGAACUCCAGGUGUAGCGGUGAAAUGCGCAGAUAUCUGGGGGAAGGCCGGCGGUGAAGGCGCUUUUCUGGUUAGUACCUGACACUGAGGCACGAAAGCGUGGGGAGCAAACAGG